rnacentral:rRNA from 1 species
UGGGGAAUAUUGGACAAUGGGGGAAACCCUGAUCCAGCAAUGCCGCGUGAGUGAAGAAGGCCUUAGGGUUGUAAAGCUCUUUCGCCCGCGAAGAUAAUGACGGUAGCGGGAGAAGAAGCCCCGGCUAACUCCGUGCCAGCAGCCGCGGUAAUACGGAGGGGGCUAGCGUUGUUCAGAAUUACUGGGCGUAAAGCGUACGUAGGCGGAUGCGCAAGUUGGGGGUGAAAUCCCGGGGCUUAACCUCGGAAUUGCCCUCAAAACUGCACGUCUUGAGACCGAGAGAGGUAAGGGGAAUUCCUAGUGUAGAGGUGAAAUUCGUAGAUAUUAGGAAGAACACCAGUGGCGAAGGCGCCUUACUGGCUCGGUACUGACGCUGAGGUACGAAAGCGUGGGGAGCAAACA